rnacentral:rRNA from 1 species
UGGCUCUACGGGACGCAGCAGUGAGGAAUAUUGGUCAAUGGCCGGAAGGCUGAACCAGCCAAGCCGCGUGAAGGACGAAGGUGCCAAGCAUUGUAAACUUCUUUUGUCAAGGGACAAAAUCAGGCUCGAGAGCCUGACCGAGGGUACUUGAAGAAAAAGCAUCGGCUAACUCCGUGCCAGCAGCCGCGGUAAUACGGAGGAUGCGAGCGUUAUCCGGAUUUAUUGGGUUUAAAGGGUGCGUAGGCGGGCUGUUAAGUCAGCGGUAAAAGCCCGGGGCUCAACCCCGGCGAGCCGUUGAAGCUGGG